rnacentral:lncRNA from 1 species
GUUCCUACUUCUAAGCUCUGAUCUUCAUGUGUCUUAGUCAGCUUGGACUGCCAUGAGGAGGUACCACAGAUAGGAAGCAUCAACAAUAGACAUUUGUGUCUCACAUUCUGGAGGCAGGGAUUCAGUUUCUGGUGAGGGCUCCCUUCCUGACUUGCAGACUGCCACCUUCUCGCUAUGACCUCGCAAGACCUUUCCUUUGUAUGUGUUCUUGGAGAGAAAUAAUUAGCUUUGGUGUCUUUUGUUUUCUUUCUUUCUCUCUCUCUUUCUUUCUUUCUUUUUUUUUUUUUGACAGAGUCUCACUCUGUCACCCAGGCUGGAGUGCAGUGGCGCCAUCUCAGCUCACUGCAAGUUCCGCCUCCCGAGUUCAUACCAUUCUCUCACCUCAGCCUCCUGAGUAGCUGGGACUACAGGCAUGCACCACCACACCCAGCUAAUUUUGUUUUUGUAUUUUUAUAGGGACGGGGUUUCACCAUUUUAGCCAGAAUGGUCUUAAUCUCCUGACCUCGUGAUCUGCCUGCCUCAGCCUCCCAAAGUGCUGGGAUUACAGGCAUGAGCCACCGCAUCCGGCUGUUUUCUUUCUUUCUUAAAAAGUUUUUGUAGAGAUGGGAUCUUACUAUAUUGCCCAGGCUGGUCCCAAACUCCUGGGUUUGAGCAAUCCUCCUGCCUCAGUUUCUCAAAGUGCUGGGAUUAUAGAUGAGAGCCACUGCACCUGGCCUGUCUUUUCUUUUUCUUUUUGUUUUCUUUCUGGUAUCUCUUCUUAUAGGAACACUAAUCCUAUCAGUUCAGGGCCCCACCCUGAUGACACAUGUAACGUCCACUACCCCUUUAGAGGCCCUGUCUGCCAAUGCAGCCACACUGGAGGUUAUAGCUUCAACAUAUGAACUUGGGGGAACACAACAAAGUCUGCAGCACCUUGAAAGCAGUAGCCACACCUGAUUCAGCUUUUCAUUCCCUCAUCAGAGCACAGUUUCGACAUAUCAUAGUGUCCAAUAAAUGUGAAUUCAGGGGAAUCUUGAAUAAAAUGGCAGAGCUGAUAUUUUAACCCAGGUCUUCAAAUCACCAAAUGAAGUGCUGGACAUCAUAGCUGGGCACCUAUGGGGAAUUAAAGAAAGAAUACACCAUGGUUUGCCCACUGGGAGGAUAACCUUGUUCUGGUGGCAGGACGUACAGUGGAUACAAAUUAUAUACACCAUGCGGAGUGGGCUAGUGAGGAGGUGAGGAAGGGGGGACCAGAAAGGAUGGGAAGUGAGCUGGCCCUAAGAGACUGGUUUGCUUUGGGGUUUCGGGAGUAGCAAGGAGAGGCAGGAAGGGCAACUCCAGCCAGAAAACCUGGGAUCUACGAUUGAGGUCUGAGUUUCAGCAUGGUGGUCUAGGAUGGGAUGAAAGUUCAAGAAAAAUUGGGGCUUUGGAAGAACUUUGGAAGGUCUGAACCAAAAGAUGGCAUUGAAAAUAACCUUGCCAACCUAUAACAUAUAACAUCAAUCAAACAAAAGUUCUGAUCUUUUAACCAACUAUUUAAAAGUUAAUAGAGGCUGGGCAUGGUGGCUCAUGCCUGUCAUUCCAGUGCUUUGGGAGGCUGAGGUGGGAGGGUCACUUGAGCCCAGGGUUUGAGACCAGCCUGGGCAGCAUAGUAAGACCUUGUCUCUACAAAAAUAAAAUUUAAAAAAAUUAGUCAGGGCCUGGCGCUUUGGCUCACACCUGUAACCCCAACACUUUGGGAAUCCCAGGCAAGUGGAUCACUUGAGGUCAAGAGUUCCAAACCAGACUGGCCAACAUGAUGAAACCCCAUCUCUACUAAAAAUGCAAAAUAUUAGCCUGGCAUGGUGGCUCACGCCUGUAAUUUUAGCUACUCAGGAGUUUGAGGCAGGAGAGUUGCUUGAACUUGGGAGGUUGAGGUUGCAGUGAGCCAAGAUCAUGCCACUGCACUCCAGCCUGGGCAACAGAGCGAGACUCUCGCUCUCAAAAAAAAAAAAAA